GCCAGUUCAUGCUUUUACAGUAUGAAAAUUGGUGAUUUAUAAUAACUUAGCAAAUCGCAAAGUGAAAACAGGCGAUAAAUCAUUCAAGUUUCUGACCUAUCAGCUUUCGACGGUAUGGUAUUGGCUUACCGUGGCAGUGACGGUUAACGGGGGAUUAGGGUUCGAUUCCGGAGAGGGAGCCUGAGAAACGGCUACCACAUCUAAGGAAGGCAGCAGGCGCGCAAAUUACCCAAUUCUAACAGUUUGAGAGAGGUAGUAACAAGAAAUAACAAUACAAGGCAGUUAAAAUGCUUUGUAAUUGGAAUGAUAGAAAUUUAAACCCUUUUUAAAGUAUCAAUUGGAGGGCAAGUCUGGUGCCAGCAGCCGCGGUAAUUCCAGCUCCAAUAGCGUAUAUAAAAAUUGUUGCAGUUAAAAAGCUCGUAGUUGAAGUUCUGCUGAAAGUAACCGGUCUGCUUUUAAUAAAAGUGGUAUCUUGGUAUGUAUUUAGCAAUGAUGUCCUUUGAAGUGUUUUUUACUUUAUUGUAAUAAAGCAUAUUCAGGACUUUUACUUUGAGAAAAUUAGAGUGUUUCUAGCAGGCUAACGCUUUGAAUACUGCGC
rnacentral:rRNA from 1 species